rnacentral:lncRNA from 1 species
AGAGAAAAGCAGCUGGAGCAUCUUCAAUCCCAGAUGUGAUCAGAGCCUGUCUACUGGAUAAUUUAAGAGAAUUCUGCAGUCUGAACCAGCUUCAGAGAAAACUUCCUGAACUGUGGCAGCCAUCAUUAAGUGACCACAGGACACUUUCUAAUUAAACAUGGACUUUGCCUCAGAAUCUAUCUCAGCCCAACUCUUCAGGGCCAUCACCAAUCAAAUAGAUUUUGACCAGAAGUCCCUCACCAAGAUGAGAACCAUAAGAUGGAAGAGGCAUGGAUCUGAGAGUCACCAUUUAGGAACACCGGACCCACAGCCAACUGUGUUGCAGAGUCAAAAGAGCUUGCACUGUUGCUUCCUCCACCCACCUCUUCAACAGCCAGGAGCAGAAGAAUUCCCUAAUGAUAACUCCUAAAGAGACACUUAAAGUUCAAAGCUCUAGCACAUGAUGAAAGUAAGUUGAAUGACCUAAAGAGGAGAAAUAUGGAGAUGGUGCACCCUGACGAUUAGGAAGGGAAGCUCCAAGGCUUCUGAAAGAGUGAAUCUCCCGAACUUAAAUAAGAUAAUGAUGCUAAAUGCCCUACACAAAAUGGAAUCUCUCUGAGACAAGCCGGUCCUCAAAAAGCCUGGCAACAUGGGCACUUAUAAGGACUUGGUGUUAAGCACAGAGCCUCGGUAACCUCAGCAAAGACACUUCGUGGCAGAGAUGGAAAAGUGGAGCCAUCUUGUCUUGAUGGAUCAUGAAACCAUGGUGGGGAGCCAGGGCCACAGGAAUUAUUGUGCACUAAUGACCCAUGCCUUGCCAGACAUAAAAGACUCAGAGGAUCUUUUUAAUAUUGUCAGGGAGAGGCUGGAGCCAGAUUUGAUCUGUUGAAACAAAUAUAUAAGUAUGGUAUCAUCUGUAUCCCAAGUGUCAUGUAGUAAAUAAAUGUUAUUUUCAUAAGACUUUCAAAAAAAUAAUUUUCCUGCUUUAAAAAAAGUUAGAAAAGCACUAUUAUUAGAACCCACCACUCCCUCUAGCCACACUGUGCUUUACCUACCACAGGAAGGAUUCCAAUGAAGGAAUUUUUAGUUCUUAUGGGUUCAACAUCAACACACAAACAAUUUGGAUAAAGUCUAAUGACAUACUCCAUGAUGUACAUCCCAAGCCAACAUAGCAAAGAAGAGAGCAAAAUUCAGAAAAGUGGAAAGAUCAGAGUAUCAGCAUCCAUAAGGGUGUUGAAUAUUAGCUCACAACAGUAGCUGAGUUCCAGCAAACUGUAGAAUAGCUGCUUUCCAUCCUUCAUC